rnacentral:rRNA from 1 species
GUCCACGCCGUAAACGGUGGCGCUAGGUGUGGGAACAUUCCACGUUCUCCGUGCCGCAGCUAACGCAUUAAGCGCCCGCCUGGGGAGUACGGCCGCAAGGCUAAACUCAAAGGAAUUGACGGGGCCCGCACAAGCGGCGGAGCAUGCGGCUUAAUUCGAUGCAACGCGAAGAACCUUACCUAGGCUUGACAGUUGGGGAAAUCUGGCAGAGAUGUCAGGUCCGCAAGGGCCCCAAAACAGGUGGUGCAUGGCUGUCGU